AGUGAACGCUGGCGGUAGGCCUAACACAUGCAAGUCGAACGGCAGCACAGUAAGAGCUUGCUCUUACGGGUGGCGAGUGGCGGACGGGUGAGGAAUACAUCGGAAUCUACUUUUUCGUUGGUGAUAACGUAGGGAAACUUACGCUAAUACCGCAUACGACCUACGGGUGAAAGCAGGGGAUCUUCGGACCUUGCGCGAUUGUAUGAGCCGAUGUCGGAUUAGCUAGUUGGCGGGGUAAAGGCCCACCAAUGCGACGAUCCGUAGCUGGUCUGAGAGGAUGAUCAGCCACACUGGAACUGAGACACGGUCCAGACUCCUACGGGAGGCAGCAGUGGGGAAUAUUGGACAAUGGGCGCAAGCCUGAUCCAGCAAUACCGCGUGGGUGAAGAAGGCCUUCGGGUUGUAAAGCCCUUUUGUUGGGAAAGAAAAGCAGCAGGUUAAUACCCCGCUGUUCUGACGGUACCCAAAGAAUAAGCACCGGCUAACUUCGUG
rnacentral:rRNA from 1 species